UACGGAGGGUGCAAGCGUUAUCCGGAUUCACUGGGUUUAAAGGGUGCGUAGGUGGGUUGGUAAGUCCGUGGUGAAAAUCUCCGAGCUUAACUCGGAAACUGCCGUGGAUACUAUCAAUCUUGAAUACUGUGGAGGUAAGCGGAAUAUGUCAUGUAGCGGUGAAAUGCUUAGAUAUGACAUAGAACACCGAUAGCGGAGGCAGCUUGCUACACAGUCAUUGACACUGAGGCACGAAAAGCGUGGGGGAUCAAACAGG
rnacentral:rRNA from 1 species